AGAGCUUUGCUCCCUGAGAUUAGCGGCGGACGGGUGAGUAACACGUGGGCAACCUGCCUAUAAGACUGGGAUAACUUCGGGAAACCGGAGCUAAUACCGGAUACGUUCUUUUCUCGCAUGAGAGAAGAUGGAAAGACGGUUUACGCUGUCACUUAUAGAUGGGCCCGCGGCGCAUUAGCUAGUUGGUGAGGUAAUGGCUCACCAAGGCGACGAUGCGUAGCCGACCUGAGAGGGUGAUCGGCCACACUGGGACUGAGACACGGCCCAGACUCCUACGGGAGGCAGCAGUAGGGAAUCUUCCGCAAUGGACGAAAGUCUGACGGAGCAACGCCGCGUGAACGAAGAAGGCCUUCGGGUCGUAAAGUU
rnacentral:rRNA from 1 species